ACGUUUUGAUUAUUUAAUUGACCUCCAACAUAAUUGGCACUACUUUUAUUGAUCUAACAUUAUUUUGGUAUUUUCCAGAUGUACGUGUAGUCGGGCUGUCUUCCUUCAGGAACCUGUGGCGAAAAUUGCUGCACCACAGCUCAAGCACUAAGCCCAGGACAGACCUGUGCUGGCAGUGCCAGGGGAACAACUGGCAGAUCUGAAGACUUGAUAAUCUGCCAGAAGCUGUUAAGUCAGCCAAGCUGAAGAAGCAAGAGCAGCAUUUCCUGCUUGUUCAGUGAGCGAUCUGUCUACCAGAAGAUGGUUGCUGACUGCAAGACCACCCCUGUCAAGGCUUGCAGUUGUCUCUGGGUUAAGUGCACUAUCCUUCUGAUCCUAUGCAGCCAGGUCCCAUCUACUUUUAACUCCUCGCAAGUAUGGCUUGUUUGGUGUCUGCUGUGAAGGAAUACCACAGAAAGUCGACUACUUGAUUGAUGAAGGCAUGUCAUACAGCAAAGGCAGUAGCGCAGUCAUCAUGUGAAGGACAGCACUUUGACAGGGGUCAACAUCCCACAGCUGGUUGGACUGGAUGAUGGUACGGUGCAGGUGGAAAGCUAUGGCUGGCAACAACACCUGACUCCGUACUUCAGGCCGCUGCCACAGAUCAAGCAGUACCAACACUUCAGCUUCGGACAGACCAGUCAUUAGCACUAUCUGCAGUGCCUCUAUUCGAAUGACUCUAUCCUAACACACACGCCAUACGUUGCUGCUACAAUUUUUUUUUUAUCCUGCUGCUCAGCCACUUUACCCCUGAUUGUAUGCAUAUAACUACCUCAUCUAUCACUGAUAUCGUUAUUGCUCUUGUACAUACUGUAUAUUUAAUAUUGACAUUUAUCUAUUUCUGGUAUUGCUACUAUGCAAGUAACCAUUUGGCUGUACUGUUUACACCUUCUGUAGAGACCCAUCCAAUUAGCAAGAUGUGGCCAGUGGUGUAAAAAUACUUUAAAGUACUACUUAAGUAUUUUUGGGGGGUAUCUGUACUUUACUUAACUAUUUAUAUUAUUGGCAACUUUUACUUCACUACAUUCUGAUUUUUAAAAACGUUUUACUCCAUUCAUUUUCCCUGACACCCAAAAGUACAUUACAUUUUGAUAGGGAAAUUGUCCAAUUCACACACUUAUCAAGAGAACAUCGCUGGUCAUCCCUACUGCAUCUGGCAGACUCAUUAAACACAACUGCUUAGUUUGUAACUUAUGUUGGAGUGUGCCCCUGAC